AUCGCUUCUCGGCCUUUUGGCUAAGAUCAAGUGUGAGUACCUAUUUUUAUCAGUUUAAUAUCUACAUACAUCCUCUAUCCGAGGGACAAUAUAUUAAAUGGAUUUUUGGAGCAGGAGAUGGAAUAGGAGCUUGCUCCGUCCUCCCGCAUCGACCUGGUAUUGCAGUACCUCCAGGAACGGUGCACCUCCA
rnacentral:snRNA from 1 species